rnacentral:rRNA from 1 species
GCCCAAAAUCUAGCCCCCCCCCCC